rnacentral:tRNA from 1 species
GUAGUUGCCCCACAACGGCAAUCAGGAUUGGCCCGCCCGCCUUCUAAGCGGCAGGUCGUAGGUUCGAGCCCUACCGGGG